rnacentral:tRNA from 1 species
AUUUGAGUAGUUUAAGUAAAAUUUUGAUUUGUGGUGUCAAAGAAGUAAGGAUUACCUCAGAUU